GUUAAUGACAGACAGUCAGUGAGUGUGUCUGUGUCCAACUCUUCCUCACAGGUUAGUUAAUGACAGACAGUCAGUGAGUGUGUCUGUGUCCAACUCUUCCUCACAGGUUAGUUAAUGACAGACAGUCAGUGAGUGUGUCUGUGUCCAACUCUUCCUCACAGGUUAGUUAAUGAUGUUACUGAGUCAAUGUGAGCAGAUUGUGUCUGUAGACUGAAGAGAAUCAGAGUCUCACUGAUGGUGGAAAUAAAGGUUUUACUUCCUUAAAA